GACGAACGCUGGCGGCGUGCUUAACACAUGCAAGUCGAGCGGAGCGGCGAACGGGUGAGUAACGCGUGAGUAACUGCCCCCCUCUCUGGGAUCACAGUUGGAAACGGUUGCUAUUACCGGAUAGUGGGGGAUGACUCGCGUCCUAUCAGCUUGUUGGUGGGGUGAUGGCCUACCAAGGCGGUGACGGGUAGCCGGCCUGAGAGGGUGACCGGCCACAUUGGGCUGCGAUGCGGCCCAGGCUCCUACGCGAGGCAGCAGUGGGGGAUAUUGCACAAUGGGCGAAAGCCUGAUGCAGCGACGCCGCGUGGGGGAUGAGGGCUUUCGGGUUGUAAACCUCUUUCGCUAUCGAAAGGGUAGGUGGAGAAGAAGCGCCGGCUAACUACGUGCCAGCCGCCGCGGUAAUUC
rnacentral:rRNA from 1 species